GCUGACACAUCCCUGCCAAUCUCCGGCAGACCCUCCCUCCCAGACCCUCCCACCUCCUGGACAGCAUCCAUGUUGAAGCUGCCUUCAACAUGGAUGCUGUCCAGGAAGUAGGAGGGUCUGGGAGGGAGGGUCUGCUGGAGAUUGGCCGGGAUGUGUCAG